rnacentral:rRNA from 1 species
AUUGAACGCUGGCGGCAGGCCUAACACAUGCAAGUCGAGCGGUAGCACAGGGAGCUUGCUCCUGGGUGACGAGCGGCGGACGGGUGAGUAAUGUCUGGGAAACUGCCUGAUGGAGGGGGAUAACUACUGGAAACGGUAGCUAAUACCGCAUAGCGUCGCAAGACCAAAGAGGGGGACCUUCGGGCCUCUUGCCAUCAGAUGUGCCCAGAUGGGAUUAGCUAGUAGGUGGGGUAACGGCUCACCUAGGCGACGAUCCCUAGCUGGUCUGAGAGGAUGACCAGCCACACUGGAACUGAGACACGGUCCAGACUCCUACGGGAGGCAGCAGUGGGGAAUAUUGCACAAUGGGCGCAAGCCUGAUGCAGCCAUGCCGCGUGUAUGAAGAAGGCCUUCGGGUUGUAAAGUACUUUCAGCGGGGAGGAAGGUGUUGAGGUUAAUAACCUCAGCAACUGACGUUACCCGCAGAAGAAGCACCGGCUAACUCCGUGCCAGCAGCCGCCGCAG